ensembl:rRNA 5S_rRNA 5S ribosomal RNA
UUUCUGCCAAGAGCCACACCACCCUGAUCUCAGCAGGUCUCAGAAGCUCAGCGGGGUCUGGCCAGGUUGGUACUUGGAUGGGAGACUGAGACUAUCAGGGUUAAAAAAAAA